UACGUAGGGGUGCAAGCGUUAAUCGGAAUUACUGGGCGUAAAGGGCGCGUAGGCGGUUUGCACAGUCAGACGUGAAAUUCCGUGGGCUCAACCUGGGGGCUGCGUUUGAUACGUGUAGACUUGAGUGCGGAAGAGGGUCGUGGAAUUCCCAGUGUAGAGGUGAAAUUCGUAGAUAUUGGGAAGAACACCGGUGGCGAAGGCGGCGACCUGGUCCGAUACUGACGCUGAGGCGCGAAAGCGUGGGGAGCAAACAGG
rnacentral:rRNA from 1 species